AGAGACGAGUCUGCCAAGUCCAAGGAAACUACUCCUUUCAGUCCCACAAUUUCACAAUUCAAUAUCGUGUUUUGAGGUUAUCUCCGCAAGUUAAGGUCGGAGCGAGAAAUUCAAGUUAAAGAAAUUAAACGAACGAGUGAGGGUGGUGUCCCUACUCGGAUUAGUGUACACAGGUGACCAUUGGAAGGUGGCCACCUUCCACGGCACAAAGAUGAUAUAGUGGAGGCCGUUGGGAGGUGGCCACCUCCCCGGCUGGAGAAAGAUGUAGGUGACCGUGGGAGAGCACCAUCUCCACGGCACUUGGUGUUCAGAUAUGGCAAAAGUA